GAUGUGGCGCAAUGGUAGUGCGAGUGCCUGCGACGCAGAUGGUUCCGGGUUCGAUACCCGGUAGGUCA